GGUGGAAGUUUUACGCCUUACAUGGUUACUGUUAAUCCGGGCGAGGUAUGUUGACUUGAAAUAAAAAUGCAUACCGUAGUCGUUGCGCUUUUGAAUAAUCGUUAGUUAUAUUUGCAGGAUGUUAUGCUUCCGUAAAUCCAUUGGAAACCCAAAUGGACUCCUCUUUCAGGUCGUUCGAUUCAGAUUUCAACCCGAAGUUUUAUGUUGAUGAGAAAGAGAAGGCAUCAGAACAUGAAGCCUUUAGUGGUUUUUCCUGCUGAUUAAUCGUGACCUCCAAGUAACCGAUAGCUUUACAUUCAUCGUGUUGGUCGAUUUGGUCCUUUUGGACGAAAGUUUUACUUAGAUUUCUGUUAGUCAUGCUACAAUAGGUUGAUCCACUAUUAGUUAGCUUUGUGGCAUAGCUUGACUCGUAAAAACCCCUUUGAAUCACUAUCUUACUGGGUUGCUGGUUGAUGAUCAGCUCAAUGGACUUGGCAUUUGGUGUUAUUUUUCACAAACAAAAGAUGUUGGUGAGAGUUGGUUAUGCAAUCAAUUUCUUUUCAUUGAGAAGGUAUUCGAUAUUUUGUAUAAAAUUUAGUAUCUUUUUCCCAAGUUACUCUC